UAGAUUUUAAUGUGUAUAACAGUUUGCUCAGAAAUGAGAAGAUUGUGAGUGUGGGAAUAAGUACUUUGCAUCGGUAAAUGCAGACAGAAAGUUAAAACCGAGUUCAUUCCACUUCUGGCAAAUGCUACAAAAGAAAUUUUUGCAUGUCAGAAUCAGAGAAAUAAGGGAAAUUAGUCAGGUAAAUUCCACGACUUAGUAAAUGUGUUCAAAUGGAGGUUGAGGAUUUAAAGCAUCUAACUGGCAUUAACACGAAAAGAACUUGUUUUAUCCAUCUGAAGUUCUGAGCUACACUUUUUCAAGGAGACGAAACUUUCAAACAUUUUCAAACUUGUCUUUGCUAUUAAUUAUGUCCAGACUUUAGAUUCAUCUAAUGGAUUGAACAUCAGGAUAAAACAGACACUUACUGAACAGGGAAAGAUAACAUAUGUACACACCUAUCCCCGUGAGUAAUUUGAGAACCAACUAAUCACGAAAAAGUCCAGAUCUUAAGAACAGAGCCUGCAGUAGCAUGUCCCUUCUUCUCUACAACAAGGAGCAAUCUCACAUCCAAGGUCCCCCUUCAGCAUCUUCUCCCAGGCUAAAUACCGGUGAGGCAAUGGUGAAGGAAAGGGUAUAUAGACCUUUCUAUAGGUCACUGGGUCAUACCAACAAACUUCACCCAUGGAAUUCCAAUGUCAUCUGAAAGGGAAGCAAGAUUUAGAGAAUCGAUGAAUGAGAGAGAGCAUAGUGAUGACCAAAGAAUUGGUUGAUGAGUAAGAGAACUGCUAAUAAGCUGAGAAUUCCAAAUUCAAAUGCGACAGUCUGUUAAUAAGAUCCCAGAUUUUUAUUUCAUUUUUGCUGGCUCGAAGAUAUCAUGGGAAGCAGUCCAAUGGAUGGGGAACCGAUGCAGAAUCUGAGAAGGUAACUAUGAGUAGAAGAGUAGAGGAGUAGUAAAUGGCAAGAUCAAUACCUUGAUUUUAAUUAAAUCUUCAUGAGAUGGAGACGGUGAUGUAGGUGAGGACAACGAAGUGGAGAGGCAAAGCAUAGGUAGGUGAUUGAGGUGUAGACCACAUGGGGAAGGAGAUGAUGAAAGAGGUAUUUUUUACACCCCUAAGUUAUGCCCAAAAGCCAUCUGCAAAAGAUUAAGACACUUAUUAAGUACACAUAUAAUUUAGGAUUACAAUUAGGGAAUUAUCUCAGUACAAGUUUUACUUUUAGGUCCAAAUUUUAUAACUAUGAAAGUUUUAAUGCAACCACGCAUAAGAGUAACAUCAUUUCUACCGAGGUGUGACUGUAAAUCUAUUUCCCAAGAGCUGCCGUAAACAAGUCCAUCCUUCACAUAGCUGAAAUGGAGUGGCUAUAAGUCUUGGACAUGUUAUGUAUAUAUAUCCAAGACAAAGCGAACUUAAAUAACAUUCGCCUCACCAGAAGUUGUCUGCUGUGAUACCAAUCAGCUUUUCACUCGGAGAUGAUGAUUUACAUGCAGAUUGCUUGAAUAUAGUAACCUGCAAAUGCAAAAAGAAACCUAGCCAUGAAUUCUGAACAUCUGUCCCGAGUCUUCAUCAAAUGGGGAGGGAAUAACAUAUCCUAGAAGUACAAUGAUGCAUAAGACAAUCAAUUCCUUGAACCAUAAGCAGUUAAAUCUCAAUGCUCAAUCAUAUAUUUUGAAGCUAGAGACUUCGCCCAUCCAUUGGCAAGGAUUUUAUAAUUAUCGAAAGUGCAAGAGGGCUCGAGGCAAAGUGAGAACUUUUUCACGUAGCAUGCAUAGGAAGUACUAAUUCUAUCAAUUAAUGACAAUCUGCAUAUGUUUUGAAUAAUCAUAAGACUGGAAGAUUCCAAGUCACGUAGCCGUAAUUGAUUAACACCUAUUACUCUGCAUAUAUACUCUAAGUUCACAAAACUACAUAGAAUGUGUAUAAGACUCCCUUAACAACAACCAUCUUCUAUAUGGGAUCCAAAAAUAGUAUGUAGAGAUUGACGGUGAUUUAAAAGACCUUGUUUUGCUCUGCCCAGUCCUUUGACUAUGAUGAGUAUGAAACAAGAUGCCAGACAUAUGCAGACACGCCUUCAGGAAAUUUAAUCACUGAUAAAAAGGAACAGAUCAAGGUUCCAAUACAUUGAGAGCCACAGCACCUCCAGGCUUUAAAAGUCGAAAACAUGUAAAUAUCCGCAUCGCUCAAAACAGUCAACUUUCCCUUCAAUGGUCCUGAAUAAAUAGGCAAAGGAGAAAAGGCUUCAUAAGUUGGAUUUUCUUGUCAAAGACGUAGGGCUGCUUCUUGGAAGAGGUCUUCAUUGGCAAACUUGCUUUUUUAAAAGUAAGCCCAAGAACAAAUACCACCAACCAUCCCAAAUAAAUUCUUUAUUGGAAUGCUGGUAUCAUGGCGAAUAACUACAAGAAAUAGUUCAAAUUUGGAGGAGAAACGAUUAAGUGACUGUUCUUAAUCUACUAUUAGAUUAACAGACUGUUUUUUACCACCAAAAAAAAAAAAAAAAACAAAACAAAACAAAUAAUUGUAAAUUGUUGUAAGAUCCACUUCUUUAGGAAUUUGUAACUCAUAACAUGCCGUUACUUUGGUAGUAGUCCAAAGACCAUUACACUAGCAAAGCCCAAUUUGGAGGUGAUAUUUCCUACGGACAUAACUAAGCGAAAUUACCAUGAAUGCUCAAAAAAAAAAAAAAAACUAUCUUACUAGUGGGAUAGUUUUUGCAAAGUUCUGUUCCAAGCAAGACAUAACCUACGAUGCUUAUAAGUGCCAAUCUUGUUUUACAGACCAAGACAACUCUCAAAAUUAUGCUUAAAAAAGAACCUGAUAAUUCUGAUUAUAUUAAACUUCAAGAAUAAGAUGACAGUGAGAUUCAAUGAUUUAGUUUGACAGAACAAAGCUGCACUACCUUGCUCCACAGUUGAUUAAAGAAACUACACUUAAAAAAGAGAUGACACCAAGAUAUAGUGCUUAGAUUACAGAACCAGCAAAAAAAUCUAGUAUUCCCAACAGACCAACUGUUAAUCCUCUGAAAAGUGGGAAGUUUAUCAUGUAUUACCAACCAAGAAAUAAGGCCAAACCUGGCACAUUAGGGGAGCACUCUCAUUUCUGACAAUUUGUUGAGCAACGAAAAGGCAACCAUUUGAAGAAGCUGUGCAUAUGACUCUUUCUGCAGCUGAGGAAAUAGGAAAAAUCACACCACAAACUGCAGCUUAGGUGGAAACCAACUCUUCAGACCUAGCAGCUGGCGACUUCCAAUGAGAGUUACGAAUUACAGCAGAUCCUUUGGCCUGCAGAGGAAGAGAAGAGUCAUGAAUCAUUCUCCCUGAGAAAUGAUUCCGGCAAGGUCCCAGCAUGAUAUGCCGAAUCAUACCAAGAGAUAUUAUCUCCAUACCCACUAUGUAUCUAAUGUGUUCCAAGCAUAAGUAGCAUCUGGUUAACAAUCAAGAUGAUAGCUAUAGAGCCAGGCAAAACAUAGAGAUCCACACCUCAAGAAAAUACUCUACAGACUGUUCAGAACACAAGCAAGAUUUUACAAAUCCAGUCUUCCAAUGCCAAGGCCGCCAAACUGCUUAGGAAGACAAACAGUGUCCCAUCUAAGUUUUGCUCCCUCUUUAGUAUCAGGAUCUCCCUUCCAAAAGAAAGCUCUACACAUUUAGUAAACCGUAUUGAUAACUUUCUUGAGCAACGAAAGAGUUGAUUCUAAUAGUUAACCAGACUGAACAACGAAUUUAAUAAGCCAUAGUCCCCCAGCAUAUGGGAGUUUUUUAGGGCCCGUUUGUUUAUGUUUCUUUUUUCUGUUUUUAAACACUUUUUAUGUUUUUUUGUUCUUUUGUUCCUAAGAAACAGAAACAAGAAACACUUGUUUCUGAAACACUUUUGAGAAACACUUUUUUUUUUUCUUUUUUCUCUUAUUUUCUUGUUCUUUUUUCUUUUGGCCGGUCGCCGGCCCCCGGCGAGGCCGAGGCUCGCCGGCCGCUGGGCGAGGUCGGCCUCGCCGGAUCUGUGCGAGCUCGCCCAGCCAUGGCGAGGCCGACCUCGCGCCUUUUUAUGUAAACUAGAAUCACGUUGUUCCUAUAUCGAUCGGACGUUCGCCUGCUCCCGGCGAGCCUCGGCCUCGCUGGAUCUGGGCGAGUCGGCGUCGCCUGGCGGUGGCCCGGCGAGGCCGCGCCUCGCCCCGCAGCUGGGCGAGGUCGGCCAAAAGAAGAAAAAUGAAAAAAUGAAAAAGAAAAAAGAAAAAAAGGAAACAUAAAAAAAAAAUAAAAAAAUUAUCCAAAUUUACCAAACAUGUUUCUGUUUAUUUUUUAUUCCCAGAACAAGUUUAGCAAACGCGUUUUUUUGUUCAAAAAUUGUUCCCCGGAACAGAAACACUUUUUCUUAUUUCUGUUCCCUGGAACAAUUUUUAAACAGAAAUGCAAACAAACGCAUCCUUAACUUUCCAAGCUUUAGCGCUUGUUGCAAUUCGAUCAUUUUAUGACUGGCCUAUAGCCCUUCUCUGAAAUUCAUCCAGACGAUCCAAAAUUACAAGAAGUAAAAACCAAACAAGAACCUAGGGUUGGCAGAUUGAUCAUGCUGCUUGAUAUGAUCCCUGUACGAAUUUCCUAAAAGCUUGAGUUGUUAGAAAACUUGCCAAAAAAUGUAUGUAUAAUGUACAACUCAACACUCCUCCUCGGGUAGAACCUAUCCCUUAACACAUGAGAGAAUGUGGACAUAAUCACAUAAAUGAAAUACCCAGGGAACAUGAUAACAGACAACAAUACAGACAUUGACAUGUCCCCUAAUACAAUUCUAUAUAUGAACAGGUAGAAUGCAGACAAUUUGGCAGAAAUUUUAUAAUAACAAGUACAAUGCAGAGAAUUUGCUAAUCCUUCAGAAGAGACUCUUUCUAGAUUCUGAUUACACCCCAUGAUCAUAACCCGCAUCCUGCAAACAGCCUGUCAAAAGAAAUAGUGGAAAAAAACCUACUCACCCUUUAAACUUUGCCAACCAGCAACUGCAGCGCUAUGCAACUUUGAUUCCAGGAAGCAGACUAGAAAUAGUUAUCAAAAUGAACAACAAGCAAAGAUUUCAUUGUGUGCUGUCCAGGAUGAGAAAUGCCUUCAUUUGCAUCUGCACUUAAACCGACUAAACCAUUCCCAAAUCUUGGAUGGUGAGUAAACUGCUGGAAUGGAAGGGUUGAGGCACAAUAAAUCUGUUUCCCACAUAGAUCUUGAUGUGCAUCACAGUAUGCUCAGAAAUAAAGAUCGCAGGUGUGGGAAUAAGUAUGUUGUAUUUGUAAAUGCAAACUGAAAGUUAAUACUGAGUUUCUUGCACUUCUGGUGAACGCUGCAAAAGUAAUUUUCGCAUAUCAGAAUUAGAUAUAAGGAACAGUAGUCAAAUACGUUGCACAACUUAGUAAAUUUGUUCAAAUGAAGUCUCCAGACUAAAACAGGAAACGAAAUUUAAAGCACCGAUCUGCCAUUAACGUGACAUGAACUUGCUCUAUUCAUCUGAAGUUCUGAACCACUCCUUUCCAAUGUGAUGCAACUUUCAAACAUUUUUAAACUCAUCUUUGCUAUUUACAUAUCACACAAGUUAAGUCCAGGCUUCACAUUCAUCUAGUGGAUUGCACUUUAAGGAAUCACAGACACUUAUCGAAGGGGGAAAGAGAACAUACCUAUCCUCAUGAGAAAUUCGAGAACCAAGAGAUCAUGGAAAAGUUUGCACAAAAGUCGAGAUCUUAACAAAAAAGCCUGCAGUGGCAUGUCCCUUCGACCCUACAAUGAGAAGCAGACUCACGUCCAAGGUCCCUUCAGCAACUUCUCCUAGACUUACUGGUAAGGCGAUGGUGAAGGAAGGGUAAAUAGACCUUUCCAUAGGUCACUGAGUAAAUUCACCAAUUGAACUCCAAUGAAAUCUGCAACGCAAACAAGACUGAGAGAAUAUUGGCGAAUGAGACAGAGCACAGCGAUAACAAACGAAUUGAAUGAGCAUACAACAAACAGCUAGUGUGCGAAAAAUAACCUGAGAAAUCCAAAUUCAAACNNNNNNNNNNNNNNNNNNNNNNNNNNNNNNNNNNNNNNNNNNNNNNNNNNNNNNNNNNNNNNNNNNNNNNNNNNNNNNNNNNNNNNNNNNNNNNNNNNNNAAUCUGGGUAGACUUCAAGUAGGAGAGUAGAGCAGGAGAAGGAAACGGCGGCAUGAUUCCUGAUUUUGACGAGAGCAAAUGCACGUCCGGAGUCAUGUCGCGAGAAUGACUUUGGAAGAAGGCAUUCAGACAAUUCCAACGCCAUCUCCGGAGGAACCGUAGAGGGUUCAUCGCACCCACCACGAUCACAGCUACUAAGCAGAGAGGGCACCAAAGCGAACAAUCCCUCAAGUAAUAUUCGAGUCCAAAUCCUUUUAAGUAAUUGGCAUGCAAUUCAACCUAAUUUCUGGGAUUUCGCGGAUGAGGGGCCAAUAGCAGCCGGUCCCUUUCUUGCAUCGCUCCUCCAGAAUCUCACAAAUUUCGAUACGGAGUCGUAAUAGGGAGGGAGGGAGGUCAUCCAGAGGCAACUCCCUCAGCUUCGGGCAAUUCUGGAUAGUUAAGCUCUGGAGAGACGAAGGGAGAUUGCUAGACAGUCUUUCCACGUUUUCCAUAUUAAUGAUCCACAGACGGUGCAAAGAGGGAAGGGGUGGAAGCGCAAGAUCCUCCUCCUUCCCCACUCCUCCAGUGUAGCCGUCGAUCCACAGAUCUUGAAGGGAGGUGAGGGGGGUAAGCCACUCCUCAACCGGCUGCUUCAUAUUCCCGCGUAUCUUUACCCAGAGUACUCGUAGCUGGGGUGGCAAUCCUCCGUCGGGAAACGGCAUAACGUCACAACUAAAAUCAUGGAGACAUGUGAGUUGAUUCAACUGAUUAGGUAACGCUUUUAUAUUCGGACAAUCCUCAAGAUAAAAAGUCGAGAUGCUUGGAGGAAGAGGAGGAAAGCACUCUAGCUCCAGAGCAGGACAGCUUCUCAAUUUCAAGGAAGUGAGAUGGGACAGUGUGUGCAGGCCUUGAGGUAAGCUUCUCAAAUUUUUGCAAUUCCAAAUUUCAAUCACUUGAAGUGACUGACGACCAUCUAGAAUUAUCUCCGCGAGCGACUUCACUCCCGGGCACCCAUCAAUUACAAGUCUCUUGAGGGUCACAGGUAAAAAUCUACCCUCACUAAAUGGAAAUGCUAGUAGAGACUUGCAUCCGUAGAUUAUUAAUUCUUGUAGACAAGACGUCAUGCCAACAUGGUUAAUGCUGCUGCUUGGUCCUUCCAGAUGAAUACUUAAUCCAGUGGGUAGAGAUUGUGACAUAUCAUAGCCACUGAUAUUUGAUGAUAUCAUUGAUGUCCAUAUGCCUGUUUCUAGAAAGGACACCAGUUUUGGACAGCAAUUGAUUUGCAAGUAUCUAAGAGAGGAGAGGGUGUGCAUCUUGCUUGGGAGCUUCUCUAAAUUGAGGCAAUAUCGCAAGUGGAUAGUUUCAAGUCUGCUGGGCAGCUUUAUAUCUCCUUCUCCAACCACAAAAGACAUUAAUUUAGGACAAUCCCAUACAUAUAAGCUUUUUAGACAACCAAGCUUCUCAACUACAUCUCUGUCUUCCCACAAGAACAUUAACUUGUUACAAUCUCUCAUCUCCAACUUCUCUAGUUUGAUCAAGAAGCUUGUAAACUCACGAUUUAAGCAAGUCAAUUCAGCAGUUUUUUUUAUGACAAGAGUGGUUAGAGAUGUCAGGUUUACCAAACUCUUCAACACCCCCUCAUUACAACCUUCAAAUUCUAACUCAUUGAGAGAUGGAAGGCUAAUAAUGUCAGAGUGCGAGGCAUCCAUACGCGGACAGGAGUUUAUUUCAAGCUUUAUGAGGGAGCUUAGUUCACUAGGCAAUCUUUUUAUCAACAUAGGACAAUCCCAAAGAAUGAGAUGCUCAAGACUGGGGAAUACAACUCCUCCUUCAGAGCCAACACAAUGAGACCAGUCCUCCCACAAUGGCAUGUUCCUAAAUUCCAAAGUUGUCAAGGAUGGAAAAGGACUUUCGGCUCCAUAAAAUUCAAAACCUAUCCUACGAAUCGCAUCUAGACCUUCGAUGUGCAGUUCUUUCAGCAAAGAUAGCCGCCCAAGUGAUGGUAAUGCUUUGGCCCUACGACACUCGUGUAAAUGUAAAUGCACUAUGUGAACAUGUGAGGGAUUUCCUAACCACGACGUUAAUUCUAUGCCACCAUAGAAGGAUAUCACGAGAUUUUCAACGUUUUGGUGUGGCUGAAGAAAGUCAAGGACCUUUGCUUCAAGCUCUUCAUCCCGGGAAUUUUCAAAAUCUUUACUCCACUGCAAGGUCAACCGACAUAUUCCCUCCUUUGUGAGUAAAUCGACGUCCUUGGCAUCUCCGGCGUCUUGAACCUUAUGCAAAUCAAAGAUGCACAAUUCCUCUCGAAGGUUCUUUAGUUUUUUUAACUCCUUCAACCUCAACUCAGUUUCCGUUCCCACUAUAAACUUGGACAGCAUCUCAAGACCCACCAAAUUAGCUAUAUACAGUGGCACCGCUCUUAGGCUCGGAGUGUCGGUAAUGUCGAGAAAUCUUAUGUUGAUAAGUUUCUCCAUAUCUUCAGGUAAUUCGAUAAGACUUUCACAGCCUCGCAACAUCAAAGUCUCGAGGUUAUACAGUCCAACAAUUGACUUUGGAAGCCUUGCAAUAUUAGUAUAUGAUAGAUUAAGGUGCCUUAGGUGCCUUACAUCACCAAUGCAAUCUGGUACCUCGCUGAUGUUGUAGUGACUUAAUGAAAGCACCCUCAAGUACUUCAAUUUUGACAGCAAGUCACAUAGCACUUUCUGGGACAAAAAGGACCUCUCCCAAGGGUGAGAAGGGUUAGAAUGCUUCCCUAAUGAUAUGAAGCUCCUAAGUCUCUUCAUUUGAUGAUAUAUUUUGAAUCUUUCUGGCACGAUGUGACGACUAGGAAUGAACGAGGCGUGACGGACUAAAGAUGCAUUAUUUUGAUCACCUUCAAACUCAAACUCGCUUGGGCCAUAAUGGGUUGCACCUGCAACUAGCUUUGCUAGGUCAUUCACAAGAUCAUGCAUCAAAAAUCGUGAUCCAUCACUACUCGACUUUUGAAAUAACGAUCUAGAUUCUAGCUCGUUGAAAUAAUUCAAACCUAAAUUCCAACGGUUCUUUCCUCCUUUUCCCUCCAAUAAGCCCUCUGCACUCCACCAAUGAAUCAACUCAUCAUGUUUGAUUUCAUAAUCCUUGGGAAAUAUAGCACAGUACGCGAAACAUCUCCUCAAAUGAGAAGGGAGAUGGAGGUAGCUAAGUUUCAAAGCUGGAAGGAUGUCAUUUCUUCCUUCUGAUAGAUUCCAAAUCUUGCUGUUCAAUAUAUCUUCCCAAUCACGGGGAUUGACUUUAGUGCGUAGCAGCCCGGCCACUGUCUUCACGGCUAAUGGCAAUCCUUUGCAUUUUUCCACUAUUUGGUGACCUAAUGCUUCAAAGCGAGGAUGGUGAUUUGAAUUUCGAAUUCCAAAAGCAUGAAAUGCGAACAAAGUCAUGCAAUCAUCUAAUGACAUUAGUUUGAGAGUUAUCAGUCGAGCAUCGGCCAUUAAAGCAACCUUGCGGUUACGAGUCGUGACAAUGAUCUUGUUUCCUUUUACUCCCGAUUCGAAAGGCUUCAAAAGGACAAUCCAUUCUCCAUAAUUCUCGUUCCAAACAUCGUCUAAAAUGAAAAGAAACUUCUUCCCUGAAAGGAUUUCCUUGAGCUUUUCCUGACACCAAUCCAGGUCUUUAUCUUGACAGGACAAAGUGGAGUUGGUUUUUUGUAGGAUACACUUUGUAAUAGCAUGCACGUCAAAAUCAUCAGAAACACAAACCCAUACUUUCACAUCGAAAUAGUGGGUCACUCCAGCAUCAUUGUAGAUCUGCUGAGCUAGAGUCGUCUUCCCAACACCCCCCAUCCCUACGAUGGCAAUCACUUCUAGAUCCGCACAUGUUCUAUCAUCUUCUUCUCUAACCAGUAAUUUGAGGAUCUCCCUCUUUUCAUCCUCCCUACUAACGAAACAGGGCUCGCGCAGAUUCGUAGUGGGAAUCGGCUUAUCUAACUGGCGGUAUGCUAAUCGCUCCCCCUCGUUCUUUCUCAGGCCCAGACCAUUUUUACGAGCUAUGAUCUCCCCUAAUCGGGCAUCCAGUUCCACCAUCUCAGAUCUCAUUUUAUGGUUGAACAUCAAUGCUCUUGGGCUCAUUGUGAAGCAACAACUGGGAAGAAGGGAAUGCACCUUGCUAGUGCCAAAUUCUGCCUUGAACUUGCUUUUAGUAGAUUCUAUCGUGAACUCUUCAAGCAAGUCUUCAAUGUCGUAGGCCAAGUUCUCGAGAUCUUCAAGCCACGACUUCACGUCAUGAUAGCCAGUGAGUUGUUUGUCCUCUGCAUCAUUCAACACUUCAUUGAUACUCUUCAGCAUCUUCUCCCAUUUCUUAAAUAGCUUAUCAAUCCUCUCACGCUGCGCAAAUUUGGACAGCUCGUGAGAGGCCAACCUCUCGAACAGCACUUGAAGAAAGGCACCAAGAAAGAGCUCUGCGAUGGGCAUGGCUUGGUUUAUGAGUGGCAGAGAUUAAACAAGACUGCCCAGAAGAGUCGAAACAAAGGUAGAGGGCGAAGAGAAAACAAAAGUUAUUCGCUUCAGGACACCAGUAUCAAAUGAUGGUGUGAAGCAAAUGACUUUUCAAGCACUAGAGUGCAGCAAAUGACUUUUCAAGCACUAGAGUGCUCUUUCUUUCUUGGAAGAAGCUGUCGUUGCAUUUCAUCUCGUCUCAUUUGAUCUAAUUUCAUUUGCAUUUCAUCUCAGUCUCAUUUCCACCCCGACGGUUUUCUAUCGAGUCCCGUCAUUUCCCUGUACCACGCCCGGGCAGACCCCGGGGAAGGCGUCGUAGGGAUCAGGGAGGGGCCCCCUUUACCCCCGAGGGGUUGUGGCCGGGGUAACCCCAUGGGGCCGGAAUCUUUUUCGAGGCCCGGAUCCCGGCCUCUACCUGGACUUUCCCAGAGUGGUCAAAGCCUUUUAAGGUCAUGUUUAGGACCUGAUCUAAUUUCAUUUGUGGUGCCUCUAAUUUCAUUGAGCAACUUAGUCAGACAUGGGACCAAGUCUUGGCAUCAUUAAAGCCACCAGAGGCUCAGUAGGGAAAGAAGUGGGCCCGACUCCUACCCAACCUCGAAACUUCUGCUCUAUUAAUGUUCAUCAUUUCUAUCUCGCCACUCACUUCACCCAAUUCCCAAAUGCAACCAUCCAGUAUCCACCACCACCAUGCAUCACAUCGAUCACGCGGCAUCAUGGUUUCACUGAUGCAGCCUCAUGAACCCCGUCCCGUUAUCAAAUAAAGGAGCAGUUAUUACAUAAACUUAAUGUAUGUAAUUUGUAUCAUCAUUAACCACUAUUUCACGUAACACGAGAUCCCCCCAUACUGAAAGUCGCAAAAUUUUCAUUGUCGAUUGCUCAACGAGUGUCCACAAACACUUGAUAACAAAAUCAUUUUUAAAUGAUGAUGAGAAAGAAAAAAAUUGUUACUUUCUCUUCAAUUUUGUGGUUGUCACCUAAAUUUGCUCUCUCAGAUAUAUAUCGGAUUAGAUUAGAUGGAAAUAGCAGGUGGCUAUUAUCGAAUAAUUGCAGACUUCAAGCUUCAAUUUGUCCCCGCCAAUAAUGAUUAUAUUUAUAGCAAAGCUCCUUGUUUUAUUUGGUCCGCAAGGUCAACAAAAAACAUACUUAUUGUUUUGUCCCAAGAAGACAGGAGCUACCUAAUUUCAAUAUGCCCACCAGCCAUUCAAAAGGUGGAAUUAUAUACACACACACUUAUUCAUACCUUAUUACUAUAAUGUGCAUAAAUGUUGCAUUAGCGGUACAAAAUAGCUAAAUCCCAAGAUUGCAGUUUCUGCUAUGGCAUCACAUCAAAAUAAAUAAUCAAUGUGUCCACAGAUCUUUGUUGCCUCUAUGCCUAACAAAGAUCACAGGAAAGAUUGCCUUAUACUUUCUGGAAGUCUAACAGAAUAAUAGCCCCACGGGCCACGACAAAAGGGUAAGCAGAAGCAGACAGGAUUGAUUAACCAUGCGAUUGGCUUAAUGGUUACAUAAUUGACACAUAAGGGAGAAUUGAGUGUCUGUAUUAUUUGAAUUUCUCAAACAACUAGAUGCAAAUGAAUUGGUUGUCGAUUAGAUAUUUCAACCAAGUUUUAAUCCGCUUCUUACCUAACUUAUAAAAAUAGUAGGGUACUUUAUGAAUUUAGAAUUACCUGGGCAAGGUCGUUUUUUCGUUGUCAAGAGAAAAAACAUUUAUGCUAGCAAAAUACCUUUUCCUUUGGAAAGUUACUAAAGAUAAGUAUAGUUAAGGAUAACCUUUUGUGGCUUUCUCUGUGGAAGAUUGGGAACUGUUGAUGUUUAAUGCUCAAAUUUUUCUCGUUAGGAGAAGCUUCCUAAGAAUCUGGCCAUUGAAAUCACAUGGCAGCUUAUGAAGAACCAAUGGUCCUUUCUCCACUGUGAUAAGUCUUUUUGGGGGUAAAAGAGAGAGAGAAGAAAUUUUGACAAAUUUGUGAUGGUCUAAUGUACAAUCAUUGAUGAGGCCACGAGCAUCAUAGUUGAAAUAUACCUGACCAUAGAGGGCACACGGCGGCUUCUGAGGAGCUUCCUAAUUGGCAUUGCGCAUGGCACACUUCAAAACUUUGACUUAAUGGCCCUUUCCCUAUCAUUGUAAAUCUUUUCGAUAUAUAUUGUGACAAAUGAACAGAUGUUCUUUGUGAUUCACUGAUGAGGCCACGAGCAUUGUAGUUGAGAUACAUGCGCGUGGCAUUUGCCUGAUGCUGAAUAAUCCUCAAAGAGAGGGCCACAGUCGAGCAGGUAUACAUGAAAUCUUUUGAAAAGGACGGUGGGUAUUAAACAGGAUUCAAACUAGAAAUUAGCCAUCUCAAGUAAGCUAAUUAGCACAAUGAACCCAACAAAAAUAAAGAGAAACGAUGCAGGAUAAUGCUAGGAUAAUACCACUAGUUUACGAAAUUGGUAAAGUGACACAACAAAUUUUUAAUUACGGUAGAUAUGACUCACUUUAUUAAUUUCAGUUGUAGAUCAAUCAAGUAUUUUUAUAUCAUAUUUACAUUAUUAAAAGCGUGAAAUUAAAAUGAAAAAUGUAUAUUUGCAACCAUGUAUGAUUAAUGUGAAUCUGAAUAUGUGGGUUUAGAUUUUUUUUAUAUUUAUUAUCGUGAUUUUUUUUUUUUUUUUUGGUGCCAAGGAUUGCCAAGUACAUAAAAGUUUACAUUUUAUUUAGACAAUUACGUAAAAUUAAGGAAAAAAAGGUUGAAGGUGGGAGCAGCAAAAGACGAGAGCGGCAUUAGAAGACUACUUUCCCUCAUCUAUGGCCAAUGAAUGGUUCAACUAAUCCCUUUUUAACGUAUUAGCUUAGAAUCGGGCUUACAAAAUUUUCCUUCCGGUAGGUCUUCUAGGAUUUUCGUGCACUUCUUGUGGGGGAUGAGAUCCUUUAUCUCUGUUUGUAUGCUCGUGACUCCGUAAUUAAUAUCUCAUUCAUCGCAACCGUUAAUCCAUGUGAAUAGGGAUAAUCAUAAUACUUCAGUUUUAAUAUAUUUACAAUUGAGAUCAUCCGCGAUAGAGUUAUUAAGCGGCCAACACUUGUUGGUUGUUACCACACCGUCAAUUUUCUUAGCCCGGAAUCCUUCCACAAUCCAAAAUAGUUUUGCUUUUAUUUAUUAAUUUUUUCCUGCAAAUCGAUUGAAUCACUAUGACAUCAUAUCUUAAAAAAAUGCCCAAUAUGGAGGAUUGUGCUUUCAAAAUGACCCGAGGAGUGGACUAGUUUUGGUGUGUGAACACUUCUUUCAGAUACCACUUGAUUGCUAGGUGAAAAAGGAAAAAACAUAACAUUAAUUGUUCAUUGGUCUCGAAAUCAAAUAAUAAAAUUUCAAGGCGGCAAGGUCAAAUAAGAUAGGCUUAUGUUUUAUAAGGAGAAUAGUGUGAUUACCUAACUACAGUCCGUCUAGUACGAGCAUUUUGAUAUAGAGAAGAGAUUUUUCCAUUAAUUUAACCAUCGGUGAAUGUCCACUAUAAGUUUCCAACUAAAUUGAAGCAGAGGCCAUCCUUCUUGCUCACAACCUCAGAAAAGGAUCUGGAGCUCCCAAACAUCAUCAACGAAAACGAUUGCAAAGUUAGUCAUGGAUGCUUUGCUCUACCCUCUCGCCCCUUGUCCUUGGGAGAUUCGGCCCCAGGUCUAUGCUUUCCUCUAACUCCAGGAAAGGCCAAGAUCGAGUGUAACCUGGUCCUCCCAUUUCUCCAACAAAUAAUGUCUUCUUGGAUGGCUCUUUAGAUGAUCACCAAAUGACAUUACUAUUCUAACAAAAAAAGAAAAACAAAAACAAAACCGUGUAUUAAGACAUUUAUUUAAUUGAAGAAUUAUGCGAUGUUUCAAACUUCUCUUAAUUGUUGCAUAUGAUCCAUUUUUUUAAAUGUUCUUUUGCAGUUUGUUGUAUCACUUGAUAUAUCACCCUAGUUUAUCAUUCUUAACGUUAUCUAUCUUUUAAUCAUCCCUACAAAUGGAGAGCGCUGGCUAACCUUGACUGCCGAUCGAUCUAAUACUCUACUCUUUCAUUUUUUUUCCAUGGCUUAAGUAGUUUAUACAUUAAAAUAUUCAUCGCAUUCUUGACGUUGGUUAAUGCAUAGCAAAAUCUAUCAUCCUUCCAACACAAAAUUGUACAUGAGAAAAUUCAUAAGAUUUUCACUUCAAUCGAAUGCUAUUCUAUAAGGUAGUUUACAUUAGGAGUUCGGAAAGGUGGCUUGAUUAUAGAAACAUCAGUAAAUGCCAUAAUUCUUUCAAAGUUUCAAUAUUAAAUGUUAUAUCUUCAAAGUCUUUAUUAUUUCCUAAAAUUGUUAUACUUAAAUGGGGCAAGAUUAAAUGUGAUUCACAAUGGUGACUAAAUCUUUCAUUUUAUCCUUGUUUUCACCGGACAUUUUAUUCCUUACUUAGGUUGAUAAUAUUGGUAAUCUAAUAAAUCCAAAUCUCAACAAGAAAAUGCUAUUCGAGUUCAUGAUGAAUCAUACUCAAGAUUUGUUCAAGUCAGAUUGGUGAUGUGUCACGUGGAUAGUCGACGAUAACUGGACUGUCACAUUAGUAAAUUUAGGCUAAAAUUGACCGAAAUGACUAUAAUGAAAACUUUGGAAAUUCAUUAGGAAAAUUGAAAAAUUUAGGAUUACAUUGGAAUCUGUACAAUAGCCUUCUUUAAAACUAAAUCUGUAAUUUUUUCCUUUAAAACAGUUUUAGCAAAGUGGGCAUCAUAUAACAGUUACGACAAUGAUAUCGUUUUUAUCCUAAUUUUUUUGGAUGAGCUUUUGUAAAUUUAGGAUCAUCCUGGUCUUUCUCCGCCUCGCAUGUCCAUCUGUUGUUUUAUUUAAACACGAAUAAGGUCCACAAUCCACUACAGGUCUUUAGAGGACAAUAAUAUUUGCUUUUCCUUUUGCUUUAUAUUUCAAAAGUGACAUUUACAUCGUGAAGCAUUUCUAGCUAGAGACGUGGUGCGUUUCAAAUGGACAUGCGACAUUUGAUUGGACAAACUUUUGUGAAUUUAGGACCAUCUUAGUCUUUCCGCAUCUUUGCAUGUUCAUCCGUUGUUUUAUUCGGACACAAAGUAGUGAAAGUCUUUCUAAUAAGGUCCACCCUCCACUAUAAUGUCUGCUUUUCCUUUUUCUGUUUUUCCAAAGUGACUUUAAUGUCACGAAUCAUUUUACAGCUAAUAAAGUGGAAACGUUUUACAUGUAAGAGGGUAAUACUCCACCACAUGUCCAUAGAGGCACAUGUCCAUAGAGGACAGGACAAUAAUGCCUUCCCCUUUUGCUGUCUUCCCAAAGUAACUGGGGCCUUUCACAUGGCAAUGUGACGUUCGAUGGAACGUGAAUAAGAAAAAGUAACUGUACUAACAAGGUCCAUCCUCCUACACAGGUCCUCAUAGGACAAUAUGCCACCUUCUGCUUUUGCUUUUUGCAAUAGUGACAAUGUAUGAUUGGACACGAAGAAGUUGAGUACAACCACGAUGUAUUUCAAUCAAAAUAACCACAACUUGUCGUUCAAAGGAACUGCCAUUAGGGUGCUCGUUAAUUAAUUAAUAAAAGUCUUAUUGUACUGAUUUUACCCCAGAAUAUGUAGGACCAGCUUGUUGGAAAUGGAUAUCUCAUUUUUAAGUAAAUUGAAAAAUAUACAUGGAUCUAAUAAUUGCCCUAGCUUUCGAAACAAUUGGAAUUUGACCCGUGCAAUUGUGUAGAAUUGAUUAAAAUUUACACUUCAACACUUACAUUUUGCUUUUUAUAAAAAAAUUUAUUAUUGUAGAAAAUAGCAUUUGCAAAAUAUAUUAUAAAUGUCAUGGUUACUUAGUUAAUACAAGAUAGAUAAAAUAAAUAAAUAAAAACAUGGCAAUACAAGGAAAUACAUAUAAGUCAAACUAAAAAUAUAUGUCAUUACAUUUAUCUUGAUUUUUGUUGCAAAAGAACAAAUGAAUAAUAACAAUAAAGAAGACAGAAAAGUAAAUUGGAAAUUGGAUUUAUGUAGGUCAAUAAUCCAAUUUGUGGGGAGAGUAGCAUUAAAUUUCACUAUAGAUCAAGUCAUGUUAUGAAAGUUAUAACAACACUUGAGAUAUUCAAAUACUCUCAAGUUUUUCAAUCCCCAAUUAUAUCAAAUAACUCACACAGUAUUUGCCUGCACAAUUUCUUGCGAAACAAUUACUAAAUCUCACUAAGGAAUUAUAGAAGCUUGACCAACAUUUUUAUAGCUAUCAAACACUCAGUGAUUAAUUCUCUCUGAAUAUAAGUAACGAACUUAUGCACAGCCUUGCAUGUUGAAGUUGAAGUAUUCACUGAACUUGUACGAAAAAGCACUCCACAAACAGCAUUAGGGGGGGGGGGGGGGGGGGGGGAAGGCCCCCGUGGGAGUGGCAAGUAUGGUCGUUACAAAUGAAGUUGAAGUAUUCACUACUUACUCAUAGGUCAUGACCCGAGCUACUUUGUAGGAGCCCAAAAAAAGACGUGGCAUUUGGUAACAAUGCAAUUAGUAAUUCUAAUUUCAUUUUGGCAUGACGUUUCUCGUGAUCUUCACUUUGGGACAAUGAUUUUGUAAUUCUAAUUAACAUGUUGCCUUCUAUCGUUCCCCCACUCAUACCAUUACCACGGAAGAGGCAUUGACCUGCUCUAUGACCUGAGGCUUGCAGGUCCAGCCUGCCUCCUUAAAACACAGUACCAACAAGUCCAUAUUCAGACCUACAUUGCUUAGAUUUAUAACUAACUUUCUAAGGCUCUGAAGUAGGAUGAAUAAGUACUCUCUUAUCAUUAUUAUGCUUUAUCAAAUAUUACAUGAUGACACAAAAUUUAUUCAAUCUGAAAUGACUCGAAGCAUUCAACAUAGAGGUAAAACUCCCCAUAAAAAGAUUUUAGGUGGUGAAUUUUUUGAGUGGGUUUCAACUUAGUUUUUAAGUUCUUUUCUACUUUAUGUGCGAUUUGGAGUUUCACAAACUCUCCCACUUAUAAUGCUAGUGUCCUCAUAAUUGUCAACUCAUAUUGGGCAGUGAUAUAUCCUAUUCUACCGAGAGUUGUACUUUUUCAAGCUCACACAUUAUGGCCAUCAUUCACCGCUUUGUUGGAUUAGUCAUCCAGUCCAUUCCCAAAUCAUACAUCUACAACAAAGAAUCUUGCUAAGAUUCAUUGUGACACGACGCGUUUAUUGUUCAUGUCCAUUGCAUGGAUUAGCCUAUGCUGACAGGCUUGAGUUAAACUAUUUAUUACUAUCAUGGGAAUAAAAAAAGAAGAAAGGUUUGGUCUAGAAGUGACCAUAAGAAUUGAGAUCAUAUUCCCAAAUCACAUAUGGCUUUAUUUGGACAGGAAUAAGGUCCUCAGUCCACCACAAGUCCUUGGAGGAUAAUAACGCCCGCUUCUCCUUUUGCUUUUCUUCUAGAGUAACCCUAAUGCCGUGAAUCAUUUGCAUCUCCAAACGUGGCACGUUUCACAUUGCUAUGCUUCGUUUGAUUGGAUGAACUUUUGUGAAAUUAGGACCAUCUUGGUCUUUCCACAUCUUGCGUGUCCAUUUGUUGUUUUAUUCGGACAUGAAGCAUCAAAGACUCAAUUAUAAGGUCCCCUUGUGUAGAAUUGAUCCCUUACACAAGCACGACAUAAUGUGGAUGUAAUUGCAUCAAUGGAAUAACUGGGGGAAUGAUGACUAACAACAUAACAGACAAGGAAUUUUGAACCACCGACAUGUGCUUUAAUACAAUGCUAGAAAUGAACAAGUAGAAUGCGGACAAUUUGUUGGAACUAUAACAAAACAAGUAGAAUGCGGACAAUUUGCUAAUACUUCAGAAGAGAUUCUUCUCAGAUUCUGAUUAUACCCAUGAUAAUUACCCGCCUCCUAAACAGCCAGUCAAGAAAUAGCAGAAACAAAUCUACUCACCCUGACUUUGCCAGCUAGCAACGCCAAAGUCCAGGGCUAUGCACUUUUGAUUCCAUGAAGCAGAAUAUGAAAAGUCAUCAAAAUGAACAAAGGGCAAAGAUUUCAUUGAGUGCUAUCCAGUCCACGAAAUGCCUUCAUUGCCGGAAUGGAAGGGUUGAAGCGCAAUAAAUCCAUUUCCCCCAUAGAUUUCAAUGUGUAUCACAGUAUGCUCAGAAAUUAGAAGAUUGUGAGUGUGGGAAUAAGUACUUUGCAUCGGUAAAUGCAGAAAGAAAGUUAAUACCAAGUUCAUUCCACUUCUGGUGAAUGCUGCAAAAGUUAUUUUUGCAUGUCAGAAUUAGAGAAAUAAGGGAAAUUAGUCAGGUAAAUUCCACUACUUAGUAAAUGUGUUCAAAUGGAGGUUCCAGACUAAAACAGGAAAGAGGAUUUAAAGCAUCUAACUGCCAUUCACAUGACAAGAACUUGUUUUAUCCAUCUGAAGUUCUGAGCUACACUUUUUCAAGGAGAUGAAACUUUCAAACAUUUUCAAACUUGUCUUUCAUAUUGAUUAUGUCCAGAAUUUAGAUUCAUCCAGUGGAUUGAACAUCAGGAUAAAACAGACACUUACUAAACAGGAAAGAUAACAUAUAUACAUACCUAUCCCUGUGAGUAAUUUGAGAACCAACUAAUCAUGAAAAAGUCCAGAUCUUAAGAACAGAGUUUGCAGUAGCAUGUCCCUUCUUCUCUACAACAAGGAGCAAUCUCACAUCCAAGGUCCCCUUCAGCAUCUUCUCCUAGGCUAAAUACCGGUGAGGCAAUGGUGAAGGAAAGGGUAUAUAGACCUUUCUAUAGGUCACUGGGUCGUACCAACAAACUUCACCCAUGGAAUUCCAAUGUAAUCUGAAAGGGAAGCAAGAUUUAGAGAUUUGAUGAAUGAGAGAGAGCACAGUGAUGACAAAAGAAUUGGUUGAGGAGUAAGAGAACUGCUAGAAUGCAAAAAUAAGCUGAGAAUUCCAAAUUCAAAUGCAACAGUCUGUUAAUAAGAUCCCAGAUUUUUAUUUCAUUUUUGCUGGAUCGAAGAUAUCAUGGGAAGCAG
rnacentral:lncRNA from 1 species